GCCAAGCCUCUGGGUGCACAGUGUCUCGGGAGGCCCAGCAACACCUUCCCUUUGGAUGUGUCACUGACCUUUCCAGGCAUUAUUUUCUCCGCUCCCCGUCUCGUCUGCAUUGAUCCGGACGCUGGAAGGCAGCCGUCAAUGGGGUGCUGGCGCUCACUCCCAACAGCCCCUCCAAGAGCCAUCUGAGCCUCUUCCCUGCUUUAGGUCCAGAGAUGCCAUGGGGCAGCAAGGAAUCAGCCACGGGGGACAAUUUACAUCCUGGAAGUCACCAAUGCAACAAAGUGACAGCAUGUUGAUAAGCAUUUCCCAGCAUAUCACUGACUGUAGCUGAUUUGUUAUUUCUUCUAGCCUGUCUCCACUCCUGUUGAUGGAUAUUUAGGUUGUCUCCAACCUUUUAGAGUUUCAGACAACAUUGCAGUGACCUCCUUUGCCCAUUUUCCCAAACCCAUGUAAAGGUGUGGAGGUAGGAGAUGAGGGUGGGGCAAACUGGCUGGACCAGUGGGCGUGACCUGUCAAUCACAGAGACUGGGUGCACAGGAGCCAGUUUCCAAGCUCCACAAGGAGACCAAUCAGAAAGUGUUAUCUUCACCUCUGGCUCCAAACCAAGCCGGUUUUUGAUAGGACAGCCUAGAUCUGAGGUCAGGCUGAAGAAGGAGAGAUACAAAGAACUCUGCCAUUAACCUCGUGGCCACUGCCAGCUUCUCCCAGUGGGCCUCACUCCGCAGAGUACUUCUUAUCUACCUUAAUAAGUGUAAAACAUCACUACCUGUUUUCAUGUGUCUUGUCAAAUUCUUUGUUCAGGACACCAAGAAGCUGGAAUGCUUCCCUAAAAGAGUCUACAGUGCCCCAGAAUCCGGUGACCAUUUCGAGGAAAUGGAGGGGAGACUGUUGGGGUAUGCUGGGCCCUGCAUACUAGUGAAGGUGGGUGUUUAACUUCCAACUUGCUGCCAAAUCGAGAAGUAAUUUACACUCCUACUGCAGGGUAUCUCGUCCUCAGGGAUGCUGUAGAGGAACUAAUUUCGUGUGAAGUUGACCAUGAGCUGAUCUGCUGAUUGUUUAAUUUUCAAUUCCUGUUUACUGACAGGCUGGGAAUCUUUCCCCCGCGGCUUUCAUGUCUUCUUUUUUGUUUUUUGGGGGGUUUUUUUGGUACCGGGGAUCGAACUCUGGUCCUUGCGCUUGCACAGCAGGCGGCGAAACCACUGAGCUAAAUCCCCGGCCCUCAUGUCUUCUUUUUUGAAUUGCCUGUUCUUUCCCUUUGCCCAUUUGUCCACUGGGUGGCUUGUGUGGCCUUUCUUCUGACUGGCUUCCUGGAGCUUUUCACAUAACAGUUCCAUCCAGACUCUGUUUUUCAAUGUGUAUUGGACAAUUCUCUUCUGAUCUGUUGCCUUUCUGUUAAUAUUGUUUAUGAGACUCCUCUUAUAGCAGUGGCUAAUGUUGCAGCACAAUGUAUCAUAGCUAGAUCUUGGAAACAGCAUAUAUGCCCAUCAACAAAUGAAUGGAUAAAGAAAAUCUGAUAUUUAUACACAACAAAAUACUAGGAUGCCAUAAAGAAAGAUAAAUUUAGCCAGGUGUGGUGGUACUGUAAUCAGUACAGCUGUGGUGUGCUGUAAUCCCAGCACUUGGGAGGAUGAGGCAGGAGGAUCACCAAGAACUUGAGGCCAACCUGGGCUACGUAAUGAGUUCAAGGCCAGCCUGAACUAUGUAGCAAGACCUUGUCUAAAAACAAAGAUAAACUUGGGGCACUUAUAGGCAGAUGGAUGCACCUGAGACCAUAAUGUUAAGUGAAAUAAGUCAGAAACAGAAGCUCAACUAUCACAUGGUUUUUCUUACAUGAGAAACAAACCAUAUAUACACAUAUACACAGAGAGAGUGAGACAGAGAGAAAAAUAGAAGAGAAAUAAAUAGGAAGUAGUAACAAGUUCAAUUACUUCCCUAAAUUACAUAUUCCACUAUUCUAAAAAUAAUUCAAUAUAUAUGCUAACUUGUUUUAUAUAUACUACUAC
ensembl:lncRNA